GUCCCCGUAGCUCAGGCGGACAGAGCAACUGCCUUCUAAGCAGUGGGUCCUGGGUUCGAAUCCCAGCGGGGACGCCA
rnacentral:tRNA from 1 species